UUUACCGCCGUUUCGUUUUUAGCUAGUCUCCCACGCACUCUCUCUCUCUCUCUCAGACGCUGAAAACCUCCUCACUGUCUCAUCUCUUCCACUACCCACAAACCCACAACCACAGCCGCCACCACCACCACCUCCCAAGCCCCAACCACAGCCACCACGACCACCCAAAAAUCGAGCCUAGUUAGGUCCAAAAACAAAUGGGUCAGGUCUAGCCCGACCCAUUUGUCUUAUCGUUUCUAACCCUAACGGUUCAUGCCCCUAAUCUAGAACCUUCCCUCGUUUUGUUAUCUCAUCCGAGCUCUCUUGACAGAAACCCAUGGCUUGAGCGACCUGAUCUCAUCACCUCAAACCGGCACUGCCACCAUAGGAGGCGGCUUGCUCCUCAGCAAAAAGCCUUACCGAGAUUCCUAUUUCUUUUUUCUGUUUAUUGUUAUCGAAACCCUAAUUUCUUGUUUGGUACACCGCAGGACCGAAGGCACCGAUUGACGCUUCGCGAGACAUUCAUCGCUCUGUCUAUCUCUCACUCGCGGCUAGGGAUUUAGAGGAAAUUCAAGAGCUGUUGAGUGAGGUCGAUGGCACUGUAAAGCCUUCACUUUCUCAGAGAUUGCAAAGCUAGUGUCUCUACAAACAGCAAGUUCUAAAUACCCAUCAACGAUUCCAGUGUCUCUGCUAAAAAGGUAAAGGAAAAACUCUCUCUGUGUUCGUGAUUUAUUUAUUUAUUUUUGUGUGAAAAAAUUGUUCUAUGAUGGAGUGACACAAGUAUAAAAUUGUUCAAAAUACCCAUCAACUACAUGUCUGAACUAUGUUUAAGGACUGUGAU